CAGCAGCCGCGGUAAUACGUAGGUGGCAAGCGUUGUCCGGAAUUAUUGGGCGUAAAGGGCUCGCAGGCGGUUUCUUAAGUCUGAUGUGAAAGCCCCCGGCUCAACCGGGGAGGGUCAUUGGAAACUGGGAAACUUGAGUGCAGAAGAGGAGAGUGGAAUACCACGUGUAGCGGUGAAAUGCGUAGAGAUGUCGAGGAACACCAGUGGCGAAGGCGACUCUCUGGUCUGUAACUGACGCUGAGACGCGAAAGCCAGGGGAGCGAACGGGAUUAGAUACCCGUGUAGUCCCUGUCUCUUAUAC
rnacentral:rRNA from 1 species